UUUCCGUAGGUGAACCUGCGGAAGGAUCAUUACCGAGCUCCUGCCCUUCGGGGUAGAAACGCCACACUUCUGUUCCCGACAGCUCUUGCUUUGACGGGCCCGCCAGCCAGAGACCCCAAACCCUGAGUGUUAGUGUCCUCGGUGUACUAUACAAUACUUAAAACUUUCAACAACGGAUCUCUUGGUUCUGUCAUCGAUGUAGAACGUAGCAGAACGAAUGAGCACACGUCUGAACUCCAGUCCCGCAUAGUAACCUCGUAGUCCGUCUUCGUCUUGAAA
rnacentral:misc_RNA from 1 species